CAACAGACAAGAGACGAGGAAACGUCUGGGAUUUGUUUUCUUUUAUGUUUUCUUGUUUAGUGUUAGUUAAUGGUGUGAAGAUAUCUUUAAAUAAAGAUAGUUUCAAUUCAAAGUCAGGAUUUUAAAACCAGGAAAUAGGCUAGGCCUCUUCGUUUCCACAUAAGAAUGUGAGCGUGUAUCACUACAAGAGAUGGAGAGGCCUGUCCACAUCCUGAGGGACAGACCCAUCAGCAGAGACUUUGGGAAGUAAAACAGGGACAAGGAUGUCAAGAUUCACAGCUGUUAUAUGCAGAGAUAGUUUAUUCCCGGAAAACCAUCCAUCUACAUUUUCUAAUUCCUCACUUUUUCAACAGCUGUUUUAUAUUUAUGAGAUAUGAGGAAGAGUGGACCCAAGACACUUCCCUGCGGCACCCCGCACCCGAUAGGCCUUGGAGUAGACAGAGUCCGAAGAACAUCCACUACCUGUGUCUGAUCAGAAAAUACGAAUAAACCCACCCUAAACCUAAUCUACUAAAACUUUGAGACUUUUAGGCAAAACUCCACCCCGGUAUUUUGUUCCAAUCACCUUCUGCUAAUUAGCACAAUUGUUCAACCAGCAGGUAUAAUUAACAAAUGAAAUCGGCUGAUGUCAUGGAUGGAAGAACUUUUACUUUCCAACCCCUAGACUUUCCAACUCUGCAAGUUGGGAAUUUCGCCAGGACUAGAGAACCCCCAACUCUAGGACUAUGGGACCUGAUUCCUGGAGAGCAGGUUCAGGAUUUUAUGAGUUAAUUAUUCCAAUCAUUAUGUGAUCUGCCAUUUUAGAUGCAUUUAAUGAUGCAUUAAUGAACAACACCUAAAGUUUUUUGUGUCACAAUAUGACACCUUUCACUCCAGUUGGCUAAUUUAGCCAGGGUAACAGGUGUGAACAAAUCCUGCACAUACACCAUCCCCAGGAAUUACCCACCUCUUCCUUAUUCAUUGCAUCAAGCCUGCAGGGAUUUUUAAUGGCCAUAGUAAAUCAGGACCUCAGUUUAAACUUUGUGUUCAGUUUGGAUCAAACUGAUCUGUCUUAAACUUUUCAUAAAAGCGGAAUGACACUUGAAACAAUGAGAGAGGAGUUUUAUAACUGGUGACAAAAUCUGUGUACAUUUGGUUCUUGUUUAGUGUUUCUGUUUGUUGUUCAUAAUCUGUAUUGCUUUAUGUCUUUUCCUUUAUAUGGUUUAUUUGAAUAUAAUGAAAAAUAAGUGAGAUGUCAGUUCAAACAAUUACAUAUCAAGAAUAUACUGCAUGAAAACCUUGUUUCAUUUUUAUUUUUCACACAAAAAGAAAAACUUUGUACAUGUACAUGCCACUGGCUUGAACAGGCACAGAG